rnacentral:rRNA from 1 species
UACGAAGGGGGGCUAGCGUUGCUCGGAAUCACUGGGCGUAAAGGGUGCGUAGGCGGGUCUUUAAGUCAGAGGUGAAAUCCUGGAGCUCAACUCCAGAACUGCCUUUGAUACUGAGGAUCUUGAGUUCGGGAGAGGUGAGUGGAACUGCGAGUGUAGAGGUGAAAUUCGUAGAUAUUCGCAAGAACACCAGUGGCGAAGGCGGCUCACUGGCCCGAUACUGACGCUGAGGCACGAAAGCGUGGGGGAGCAAACAGG